rnacentral:rRNA from 1 species
UAUUGGUCAAUGGGCGCAAGCCUGAACCAGCCAUGCCGCGUGCAGGAAGACGGUCCUAUGGAUUGUAAACUGCUUUUAUUUAGGAAUAAACCCCCAUACGUGUAUGGGGCUGAAUGUACUAAAAGAAUAAGCACCGGCUAACUCCGUGCCAGCAGCCGCGGUAAUACGGAGGGUGCAAGCGUUAUCCGGAAUCAUUGGGUUUAAAGGGUCCGCAGGCGGGGAAAUAAGUCAGAGGUGAAAUCCGGCAGCUCAACUGUCGCACUGCCUUUGAUACUGAUUUUCUUGAAUUUUAGUGGAGUGGGCGGAAUAUGUCAUGUAGCGGUGAAAUGCUUAGAUAUGACGUGGAACACCGAUCGCGAAGGCAGCUCACUAACUAUGAAUUGACGCUCAUGGACGAAAGCGUGGGUAGCAAACAGG